GUUCCCUGAUUUAAGAGGUGAUGACUAAUCCACUCCACUACCAUUGUCAACUUUCUCCCGACAUGAACUGAAGCCUCAUCUCGUGCGCCUGCUCAUCCACUGACACAUUGCAAGUUUCCCCUCAAAGCACUUCAAAUCCUGUCCUGCAGUGGUCAAGUCUCUGAACACCUCAAUUCACGCCUCAUUCAAUCACUGCUGUGAUCCCUUUCCAACACUGUAAUUAUGGAAAUGCUACGAUGCUGUCCUGCAAGGCUUGGCAAAGACCAACAACGGAGAGGAGGGCUGGCAUCGAACAUGUUUGGUGACUCUUGGCACUACCCACGUCACCAUUUGGAAGUUCAUCAAGUUAUUGCAAUGACAGCAGCAAAGUGGUGAAAGGAGAAUGGUGCAGCUACUUACUGGCGUUUCCCCGCCAUGAAAUGUAGAUUACAACCCUUUCAAUGACUCCAAAAUCCUCAUGAGACCAGAACAUAAAGCACAUUCUUGGAAGAUUUGUUUCUUAUUUUUUGACCCCCUUUUCUCCCCAAUUUCAUGGUAUCCAAUCGUUAGCAGUUAACAUCUUGUCUCAUCGCUACAGAGAGACAAAGGUCGAAAGUCAUGCGUCCUCCGAAAUACAACUCAACCAAGUCGCACUGCUUCUUUAA